rnacentral:tRNA from 1 species
GGUAGGGUGGUUGAGUGUUUAAGCGGAGGGUUGUAGCCCCUCGUACAGAGGUUAAAUUCCUUUUCCUACCA